GUUUUGCCAUGAAUUCGCGAGAAACUCCGAGAUUAUAAAGGCAGGGCAAGCACGAAGUAAAUAAACCGACGUUCAUGACAUCGAUUUUUCACUGAGUAGGUGGCUCUCCCGAGAAGCUUUCAUGCUAACCUUCUUAACGAUUUGCGAUUCGUGGUAAAGGAUUGUACGAGUAAAUAUUGUAUGGAUGUGCCUUUCCGAGUGUAGAUGCCCACAGUGUGAUAUGUUCAUGUGUGACGAACUUUACUGAUGCCAAGACCGUGUGCUCUACAACUUUGCACAUACUGAGGUGGGAAAUAGGUUUCCUGUUUUCUGAUGUUCACUGAAACCUGAAAGAGAAAAC